rnacentral:lncRNA from 1 species
GAGAACUUCAUUCAGCCCAAUCUUCACUCUGGUGUCACAUGAAUCCUGGUUUAUCUGUUUGACGAUGUUCCUCUCAUCUAUUCUCAUCAUCUCUUUAACGGAGUAACCACGGCUCCACUGUCGCCUGUUUCAUCUCAUUCGACAUCCCAGCUGGAAACAAACAUCUCCAUCCAUCAGCAGAGACACAAAGCUUCUCCUCCUGCUGCUCCACCUUCAGCUCCUGUGUUUGCUCUCUGCUGCUGUUAUCUGCAGACGCCAGACACCGGAGCAGAAACAGUGAAGAUCUGGACUGUCUCUGUUUUCACAGCUGUAUUUACUGAGUCAAACUCACAGAUUUAAGCUGCUCUGGAUUUUACUACACAAUAAAAUCUGAGUGAGGAAUAUUUAAGAGUUUGACGGGAGAAAGAGGUGGUCAUCAAGCUGUAAAUAAAACAGAUAAACGGGGAAAAAGACGAGGGAGUCCUCACUGACUCUGAGGGGUGGGAAUCACCAGUGGCCCCAUGAUACGAUAUUAUCACGGUAAUUGGGACAUGAUAUAUUAUUUUUGUUUUUAACAUUUUGUAAUACAGUGAGUAUUGAGAGACAAUAUACUGUGAUUUUUUCAACUGUUAAGCUAAUUUAGCGUUUGUCUUUCCUUUAUGUUUGUAUUUUAGUUUCACGUUGCACAUCUUGCGAACCUUAUAUUGUUGCUCUAACUCUGCUGCUCUAUGAUGUCGCCUCUGCCAACCUCACUGGACAAACAGUUAUUUUAUAUUUAUAUUAUCAUAAAUUUAACUUCAUAUUAGCAAUUAAUUUGGAAAAUCAAUACUUUGGUAAAUGAGAUGAUACCAUAUAUCACCAGACAAAAUAUCACGAUAAUAUGCUGUAUCAUUCCUGUACACGUGACAGUCGUGUCUACAAACAAAGCCUCACUCUAUUGUCUUUUAAGGGUGAAAUAUAUCACUCACUGUAGUUGUUUACUGUGAAGAAGUCAAAAUAAGUUGAUUUUUUUUGCCUGAUGACGUUCCUCUGGUCCGACUACGACCUCUUCUCAGGAGUUUAAGGAUUAAAAAUUAUAACAGUUAAGUUAUCGGCCUUUGUGUUGAUGGUUUCAGUGACUUCAGGGUCAUAAUCAGGCUUCAGUAUCAGUGUCAGUCCUUUAAACUAUUCUCAUUCUUAAUACUGUUAUUUUUAGUUGAAGUGCCUGAAUUUGACGGGACAUUUUCACCAAAGUUCAUGAACAGUUUAUCCUCCUUUUUCCAUGUAUUUUACAACAGAUCCCUGAAUUUUGUUGUUGUUUUACUCUCAAUAUUUUAGUUUCAGAUUCUUUUGUUUAUUUUGAAAUACUCUGUUUAUUGUUUUUCCCCUUUUUGUGAGCAGCUGACCUUCAGCAAACAUGUUUUUUUUCUCCCCCAGGAGCCCAAAGAGUGAGGUUUGAUUUUGUGAUGAAAACAGGAACAGUUUAAAGAAACUUCAACAAAGUCCAGACUGACAGAAGUUGGACUUCACUUCAAGUAUCAACAGUUUAAACUGAAACAGUUAAAAAGGUUUUAAAAGGCUCAACUAAAAAAGUCUGUUUUUCUUGUUUUAGUUGGAUUAAAGUUCGGCUCCUCUGGAUUUAAAGAGCGGCUCUGUCACUCCCUCAGGGCGCAGGAGGAGGAGGAGGAGGAGGAGGAGAGGUCAGCGAUGAAGAGCUGCUGAUCCGUCAGACGCCCCGGGGUGAUGACCUGAACCUCGAAAGUGUUUCUGCUUCUCCUCCACUCAAACGUUCAUCGAUUCCCACUCAGAUCCCGACAAACAGGAACAAACGUCGCUGACUUCUCGACGUUAAGAAGCUUGUUGUGACUCGGAGUCGUCUGUUUAUUAAAGAUCCACUUGAAUAAAGCUGACACAGACGCCCUCGAGUUUCCCUCGGCGAACAUCCUGCAGAGACAGAGCCUCUUUGUGCCGCUGUUAAUAUCUGCAGACGGAUCCAGUUUCAGAUUCUUCUGAUGAUUAAAAUGUGCAAACAAGCAGGAGAGGAGCUGAGGAGGGAAAGAUGAUCUGAAAACAGGAAGAUCUGAGGCUGGAGAUGACAGAGACAUAUCUGUUCUCUGGAUGUAGGGCACAGGCCUGAAGACAAUUACUGAAAUAUGGAAUAUUUUAUGCUGCUGAUGCCUGUAAGGGAG